UACGGGGGGAGCAAGCGUUGUUCGGAUUUACUGGGCGUAAAGCGUGCGUAGACGGCUAUCUAAGUCGGGUGUGAAAGCCCCGGGCUCAACCUGGGAAUUGCAUUCGAGACUGAAUAGCUAGGGUACGGUAGAGGGAAGCGGAAUUUCCGGUGUAGCGGUGAAAUGCGUAGAUAUCGGAAGGAACAUCAGUGGCGAAAGCGGCUUCCUGGACCAGUACCGACGUUCAGGCACGAAAGCGUGGGGAGCAAACAGG
rnacentral:rRNA from 1 species